GACGAACGCUGGCGGCGUGCUUAACACAUGCAAGUCGAACGGUAAGGCCCUUCGGGGUACACGAGUGGCGAACGGGUGAGUAACACGUGGGUGAUCUGCCCUGCACUUCGGGAUAAGCCUGGGAAACUGGGUCUAAUACCGGAUAGGACCACUGCCUGCAUGGGUGGUGGUGGAAAGCUUUUGCGGUGUGGGAUGGGCCCGCGGCCUAUCAGCUUGUUGGUGGGGUGAUGGCCUACCAAGGCGACGACGGGUAGCCGGCCUGAGAGGGUGACCGGCAGCACUGGGACUGAGAUACGGCCCAGACUCCUACGGGAGGCAGCAGUGGGGAAUAUUGCACAAUGGGCGCAAGCCUGAUGCAGCGACGCCGCGUGAGGGAUGACGGCCUUCGGGUUGUAAACCUCUUUCAGCACCGACGAAGCGCAAGUGACGGUAGGUGCAGAAGAAGGACCGGCCAACUACGUGCCAGCAGCCGCGGUAA
rnacentral:rRNA from 1 species